AACGAACGCUGGCGGCAGGCUUAACACAUGCAAGUCGAACGCCCCGCAAGGGGAGUGGCAGACGGGUGAGUAACGCGUGGGAAUCUACCCAUCCCUACGGAACAACUCCGGGAAACUGGAGCUAAUACCGUAUACGCCCUUAGGGGGAAAGAUUUAUCGGGGAGGGAUGAGCCCGCGUUGGAUUAGCUAGUUGGUGGGGUAAAGGCCUACCAAGGCGACGAUCCAUAGCUGGUCUGAGAGGAUGAUCAGCCACAUUGGGACUGAGACGCGGCCCAAACUCCUACGGGAGGCAGCAGUGGGGAAUAUUGGACAAUGGGCGCAAGCCUGAUCCAGCCAUGCCGCGUGAGUGAUGAAGGCCUUAGGGUUGUAAAGCUCUUUCACCGAUGAAGAUAAUGACGGUAGUCGGAGAAGAAGCCCCGGCUAACUUCGUGCCAGCAGCCGCCGUAAAAC
rnacentral:rRNA from 1 species